GCCGGGCAUGGUGGUGAGUGCCUGUAAUCCCAGCUACUCAGGAGGCUGAGGCAGGAGAAUCGCUUGAGCCCAGGAGGCAGAAGUUUCAGUGAGCAGAGAUCACACCACUGCACUCCAGCCUGGGCGACAGAGCGAGACACUGUCUCCA
rnacentral:SRP_RNA from 1 species